GUUGGCGAUACAAUGUCAGCGUUUAAGAGAAAUCGAUAAGUGAUCCACCUGGGGAGUACGUUCGCAAGAAUGAAACUCAAAGGAAUUGACGGGGGCCCGCACAAGCGGAGGAGCAUGUGGUUUAAUUCGAUGAUACGCGAGGAACCUUACCAAGGCUUAAAUGUAAUAUGACCGGUUGAGAAAUCAACUUUUUUUCGAACAGAUUACAAGGUGCUGCAUGGUUGUCGUCAGCUCGUGCCGUGAGGUGUCGGGUUAAGUCCCAUAACGAGCGCAACCCCUAUUUUUAGUUACCAGCGAGUCAUGUCGGGAACUCUAGAAAAACUGCCUGGGCAACCAGUGAGGAAGGUGGGGAUGACGUCAAAUCAUCACGGCCCUUAUGUCUUGGGCUACACACGUGCUACAAUGGUUACUACAAUGUGCUGCCAUCUGGCGACAGAGAGCAAAUCAAUAAAGGUAAUCUCAGUUCGGAUCGGAGUCUGCAACUCGACUCUGUGAAGUUGGAUUCGCUAGUAAUCGUAUAUCAGCAAUGAUACGGUGAAUACGUUCCCGGGCCUUGUACACACCGCCCGUCAAGCCAUGGAAGUUUGGAGUGCCUGAAGUCAGUAACCGUAAGGAGCUGCCUAGGGUAAAACAGAUAACUAGGGCU
rnacentral:rRNA from 1 species